rnacentral:rRNA from 1 species
AUUCCAGCUCCAAUAGUGUAUAUUAAAGUUGUUGCAGUUAAAAAGCUCGUAGUUGGAUUUCUGGCGGGAGCGAUCGGUCCUUCACUCAGUGUUGGAACCUGAUUGUCUCCUGCCAUCCAUGGAGAAAACUUAUCUGGCAUUAAGUUGUCGGGUAGGCAAUCUCCAUCUUUUACUGUGAAAAAAUUAGAGUGUUCAAAGCAGGCUUAUGCCGUUGAAUAUAUUAGCAUGGAAUAAUAAGAUAGGACUAUGGUACUAUUUUGUUGGUUUGUGCACCAUGGUAAUGAUUAAUAGGGACAGUUGGGGGUAUUCGUAUUCCAUUGUCAGAGGUGAAAUUCUUGGACCGUUUGAAGACGAACUAAGGCGAAAGCAUUUGCCAAGAAUGUUUUCAUUA